rnacentral:rRNA from 1 species
AUUGAACGCUGGCGGCAGGCCUAACACAUGCAAGUCGAGCGGGGUUUUCGGACCUAGCGGCGGACGGGUGAGUAAUGCGUAGGAAGCGGCCCGAUAGAGGGGGAUACCAGUUGGAAACGACUGUUAAUACCGCAUAAUGUCUACGGACCAAAGUGUGGGACCUUCGGGCCACAUGCUAUCGGAUGCGCCUACGUGGGAUU